rnacentral:rRNA from 1 species
CCUACGGGAGGCAGCAGUGAGGAAUAUUGGUCAAUGGACGAGAGUCUGAACCAGCCAAGUAGCGUGAAGGAUGACUGCCCUAUGGGUUGUAAACUUCUUGUAUAUGGGAAUAAAAUGUUCCACGUGUGGGAUUUUGUAUGUACCAUAUGAAUAAGGAUCGGCUAACUCCGUGCCAGCAGCCGCGGUAAUACGGAGGAUCCGAGCGUUAUCCGGAUUUAUUGGGUUUAAAGGGAGCGUAGGUGGAUUGUUAAGUCAGUUGUGAAAGUUUGCGGCUCAACCGUAAAAUUGCAGUUGAAACUGGCAGUCUUGAGUACAGUAGAGGUGGGCGGAAUUCGUGGUGUAGCGGUGAAAUGCUUAGAUAUCACGAAGAACUCCGAUUGCGAAGGCAGUUCACUGGACUGCAACUGACACUGAGGCUCGAAAGUGUGGGUAUCAAACAGGAUUAGAUACCCGUGUAGUC